rnacentral:rRNA from 1 species
UACAGAGGGUGCAAGCGUUAAUCGGAGUUACUGGGCGUAAAGGUGCGUAGGUGGUUUUUAAGUUGGAUGUGAAAUCCCCGGGCUUAACCUGGGAACUGCAUUGGUGACUGCAAGGCUUGAGUGUGUCAGAGGGAGGUGGAAUUCCGCGUGUAGCAGUGAAAUGCGUAGAUAAUGCGGAGGAACACCGAUGGCGGAAGGCAGCCUCCUGGGAUAACACUGACGCUCAUGCACGAAAGCGGUGAGGAGCAAACAGG